rnacentral:lncRNA from 1 species
CAUAAACAAAGUCUUUUGGAUUGUGCAUAAUUGGCACUGCCACUACCUCUGGUCUUCUUAGGUACAUCCGAUUGCUUACAACUGCACAUCUUUGCCCAUACUGGCUUUUUUUCAUGGAACCAUAUUUCCUCACCUCCACCCCCACUCAACAGUGACUAUUUGAAAUAAGAGGAAAUGCUUCUGUGGUUUUUUGGCUGGAGUCACUGUUGCCCCACUGAGCAUCACAGGAGGCAGCAGGGCCAUGGCUGUGCCCAGGGAAGAUCUCUGCUGCAGAGCUUCUCUCUGCAAACUGACCCCAAGGAGGCUGUUCUUCCAUCAAAGUGCAAAGAGUUGAAGCAGCAGGUGUAGUAUCAAGGAUGACAAGUCUUUACCACCUUCAUCUCUGAGAAAAGCAGCAGCAUAAUGAAGAUAAAUAGGAAUUUUACAGACAGGCUUUAAGUGGAAGCAAUGCCACAGCAGUGCUCAGCCACAGUGCUCCUCAUCAGCUUACUUCUCAAGCACAUGGAAAUCCAGUCAACAGCUCUGAGGGGAGCAGUUCCAUCACUGAGACCCCAGGGAUGCUGCAGGUGGAGGGGACAGAGUGCAGAGCACCAGUCUGAUGUACGAUGUACACGCUCGUGUGCAGCCUCAAGAAGCCCAUGCUCAGCUGAGCAAAUGACUUCACAGCACAGCUGUCAGCCAGGAACUAAAGAUUCAUGUUUGGGCCAGAAAAAAAAAAAGAGUGCUGACUGGAGGAAGCUGCUUUGGAGGAUGAGGAAGGCAUUCUUCUAGCUAGGCCUGUAUAGACCCUCAGCUCAUCCUAACUUCUUCCUAGUGCCACAAAAGCACAGUUAGGAUGUUAGAUUUCAAAGUGUAACACUCCCAUUAAAGCACUGCACAAAGCCAUUUAACUCAACACACUUGCAGUUGCAGCCCAAACAGGAGACCACCACAGAAUCUGGAGAUGGAAAGGCACAGUGCGAGUAGGUCUGUUUAUGAUACCACCCUGGUGGAAACUCAGUGGACUCAUGCCCUGGAGCAACUUGGAAAAUAGCUGGUGCAUCAGUUUAAUAAACUUGCAGCCCAUUUUGUCUCCA